rnacentral:rRNA from 1 species
UACGGGAGGCAGCAGUAGGGAAUCUUCCGCAAUGGACGAAAGUCUGACGGAGCAACGCCGCGUGAGUGAUGAAGGCUUUCGGGUCGUAAAACUCUGUUGUUAGGGAAGAACAAGUGCUAGUUGAAUAAGCUGGCACCUUGACGGUACCUAACCAGAAAGCCACGGCUAACUACGUGCCAGCAGCCGCGGUAAUA